UUGAAAAAGCAGAGAGUGUUUUCAGUGGAUAGAUGCUUGUUCACAGUGCAGGAGGUUUUUGUACGGCCACUUAAUGAGUUUGUAUCACUGUGGUGGACUUUUGGUGGAGGAACCAAACUCAUCAUUAACUUGGGUGUGGUGCAGCCCACCCUGACCGUCCUCCCCCCCUCCAGAGAGGAGCUGAAGCAGGGCAGUGCCACACUGGUGUGUCUAGCCAGCGGGGGCUUCCCCUCAGCCUGGACGCUGGGCUGGAAGGUGGGGGGCAGCAGCAGCUCCUCAGGGGCGUCACACAGCCUGGUGGUCCUGGGGAGGGACGGCCACUACAGCUGGAGCAGCACCCUGAGCCUCCUUGCAGACCAGUGGAGGAAGGCGGGCUCAGUGAGCUGUGAGGCCAGUCUGAGUGGACAGAGGCCUGUCACUCAAAGCCUGGAGCCUGACCGCUGCUCAGAGUAGAGCUUCAGCAACACUUCCUGUCUGCAAAUGAUGCCGCUUCUUUGACAGAGAUCUGGAUGAAGCUCCAGAUCUCCUCUGUUCACAUGUUUCUGCAUGUUUCACAGCUCUCUACUCGGUGUUUUACUCUGCAUGUUGCUUUCUAAUACUCAUCUUCUGCAUGUUCCUCUUCAUGCUCAUUAAAUGAUUUUCACUCGUAGAGAAACUAUUCAUUCAUCAGAAAUGUGGCAUGAACAUUAAACCAUCAUUAAAUAAAACUGUGGAUUA